GAUGAACGCUGGCGGCGUGCUUAACACAUGCCAGUCGAACGGAAAGGCCCAAGCUUGCUUGGGUACUCGAGUGGCGAACGGGUGAGUAACACGUGGGUGAUCUGCCCUGCACUUCGGGAUAAGCCUGGGAAACUGGGUCUAAUACCGGAUAGGACGAUGGUUUGGAUGCCAUUGUGGAAAGUUUUUUCGGUGUGGGAUGAGCUCGCGGCCUAUCAGCUUGUUGGUGGGGUAAUGGCCUACCAAGGCGUCGACGGGUAGCCGGCCUGAGAGGGUGUACGGCCACAUUGGGACUGGGAUACGGCCCAGACUCCUACGGGAGGCAGCAGUGGGGAAUAUUGCACAAUGGGCGCAGGCCUGAUGCAGCGACGCCGCGUGGGGGAUGACGGCCUUCGGGUUGUAAACUCCUGUCGCUAGGGACGAAGCGUUUUUGUGACGGUACCUGGAGAAGAAGCACCGGCUAACUACGUG
rnacentral:rRNA from 1 species